UACGGGGGGGGCAAGCGUUGUUCGGAAUUACUGGGCGUAAAGGGUUCGUAGGUGGCUUGCUAAGUCAGACGUGAAAUCCCCCAGCUUAACUGGGGAACUGCGUCUGAUACUGGCGAGCUUGAGUGCAGGAGAGGAACGCGGAAUUCCAGGUGUAGCGGUGAAAUGCGCAGAUAUCAGGAGGAACACCGGUGGCGAAGGCGGUUCUCUGGGCAUGAUCUGACGCUGAGGAGCGAAAGUGUGGGGAGCGAACAGG
rnacentral:rRNA from 1 species